rnacentral:rRNA from 1 species
GUAGGUGGCAAGCGUUGUCCGGGAAUUAUUGGGGCGUAAAGCGCGCGCAGGCGGUUCUUUAAGUCUGAUGUGAAAGCCCACGGGCUCAACCGUGGAGGGUCAUUGGAAACUGGAGAACUUGAGUACAGAAGAGGAACGCGGAAUUCCACGUGUAGCGGUGAAAUGCGUAGAGAUGUGGAGGAACACCAGUGGCGAAGGCGGCUUUCUGGUCUGUAACUGACGCUGAGGCGCGAAAGCGUGGGGAGCAAACAGGAUUAGAUACCCUGGUAGUCCACGCCGUAAACGAUGAGUGCUAAGUGUUAGGGGGUUUCCGCCCCUUAGUGCUGCAGCUAACGCAUUAAGCACUCCGCCUGGGGAGUACGGCCGCAAAGGCUGA